AUGUGGGUUGCAUUGAGUUCCAAAGUUCAGAAUCUGCCUUACUGGGAGAAGAGGAGAUGUGCACCAGAAGGAGCUGGCAAGUUUCCUUGGCAAGA
rnacentral:lncRNA from 1 species